GAGAUGCUCAAAGGAAAUAGAUGUGCUGAAAGCCUGUGGAAAAGAGCCUUCCUGGGUGAGAGCAGCAGGUUGUAACUGUGAACAAGGCACCAUUUUUACAAGCAGAAUGCUGAUGAAAAGACAAAAAUUUUAUUGAGAGAGAGAGAGACUCUUGACCCAAAUCACCACCCCUACAAAGGAGGAAAAUACGAC